GCCGGGGUAGCUCAGCCUGGUUUGAGCGCCGGACUCAUAAGUGGGCAGGGCCCCGGCGCCGCUGGGAUAUCCGGAGGUCCCGGGUUCAAAUCCCGGCCCCGGCA
rnacentral:tRNA from 1 species